rnacentral:rRNA from 1 species
GAGUGAUAGUCUCGUAAACGAAAUGAAUAGCAUACCUAGCAGUAUCCUGAGUAGCGCGAAACACGUGAAAUUUUGUGUGAAUCUGCCGGAACCAUCCGGUAAGGCUAAAUACUCCUCAGAGACCGAUAGUGAACUAGUACCGUGAGGGAAAGGUGAAAAGUACUCCGAACAGGAGAGUGAAAUAGUCCCUGAAACCAUACACUUACAAACUGUAGGAGCCCUUCGGGGUGACUGCGUGCCUUUUGCAUAAUGAGCCUACGA